AAUCUAUUAGAAGAAGAAAGCGACAUUACCAGCCAUGUCCACUAUGUGGAGUGAAAUCGCGUGUGCUACACUGAAACCACUGAAACAGCUUAACAUCUUCCUAUUUUUUCGGGUAAGUCUCAUUAUUUGUCGCUGUAGUUGUUUUAUUAAGCGCCUAAAGUUGCUAUGAGAACCGUCUAUCAUUUAGUACUCUCCUGCAUGGUGUGGUAAUUCUGUAACUUGGCUAGCUAAUGUUAGCUUGACGAGCGCGAGCGGCGCUAGUUAGCUGCGCUAGCCGUAGAUUUACGAACGGUUAUUUAACCAGAGGCUAAUAAUUGAUGAAACGUGGUUAUCAAUUAACCAAUAUUUAAAGUAAUGAGAAGAGCUGGUAUGGUAAGGACGGUUGUAUUUGCUUGUUUGUUAGUCAAACUAGUGUAUAUUUUUUGCUUUGUCAUGGCCUUGAAUGUAAACCUAGAAGAACUGGUUAUAGUUGCAGCUAUCUAUAAUUGCAGUUGAAGGCAUAGGAAACUGCUGUUUUCUUAUUUUCCCCAAGUAUUGUUGGAGUUUUUUUUCACUUAUUCCUGCCAUUUCUUGCAACAUUUACCCCAAGUUUCAGAAGAACUGUGAUUGUAAAAGUGCACCUCUAUGGUUUAAGGCUUUGAAGGGAUAUUCUUAAUUUAGUAAAAUUAAGUGAGGGUCAAACACACCGUAACACCCCCCGAGAGAUGAAUGUUGCAGACCGCUUGCUUCUCUAAUUAUACCAACUUUAGUAAUGACAGCAGGAUAGCAAUACACUACGGUCUGAGGAGCCAUUAACAGACCUCAACCAAAACACCUCGCUAUAACCACAAAUAAUGCUCAGAACAGCACCUAACUUCAUCAACAGGACAGAUAGGGUCCCAGCCACAGCACUAACCAUCAGACAUCUUUUUAACUUUGCCUAAUUUCUUUAUCAAAGAGACUGAACACAACUCACCUACCCUCUUCCAGCAGCCGCUUGUCUGUCGCAAGACCUCGACCAGUCCAUUACGGGCUACCUUGGGGUGACGCAGCUCAAGGAAGAACAUUCAUGAUCAUUUCUCUACCAUUUCCUUGAAGUAGUAAUCAUCAUAUUAAUUAUUUUGCACUGCAGACGCUGUAUUUCUUCUGCCUUAGCAUCUCAGUCUGAUUGCAUUUCCAUGAAGAAAUGAUCAUAAAUGUUCUUCCUUGAGCUGUGUCACCCCGCAGCAGUACACCAGAAUAUCCCUUUUUAAGUUUGAAUUUUAGAAAUGAUGACAGUACCUACUUGAAAUCAAUUCUGAAAUUCUCUUCACAAUUGAAAAAGACGCUUGUCUAUGUGUGUGAAAGAGAAAGAAAAACUUAUAAUGUAUUGGUGUAAACAUUUUCAGUAAGGGUAAAUGAGAUAUUUGUGCGCCUGGGGGGGAUGGUGUGGACAGAGAGUAGGCCACCGCCUGUUGUGAUUGUGAUUUGCAAUACAGCAGCCAGCUGAAGCUUGCAACAGGGAGGCUCACAGGCAGCGAGUGAAUUUCAUUAAAUAUUUCAGUGCUUCCCAGCAUUUAUGAGGAGGUCAAGGUAUGCAACUAAAAGAUGAGAAAUUUGCAUUGCAGAAUUCCUCUUUUACUAUGCCAUGGCCUAGUGCUUGCACUGGAAUGAAUUAUUCCUCGGCUGAUUUGAUAUUCUAGUUGGUGCACUCAUAAUCUGAGGGGUUGUCGUGUAAAAUGUGUAUUUUCACUGGUUCCAUAUCUUGCCUACUGUCAUUUUGAAGUUUUUGAUGAAUGAACAUACAAUCGCUUAUCUUGUCAACAUCCUGACACUGUAUGUAACUGGGCAUUGGAAUCCUUUGGGUUGGUUUUCUUCACAACAGCACUAGAGGAAAAGGCAGCACAGCAGAUUGAGCACAGAUGUGUGGAGACAAAAGUCAAUCAGGAAGUACUUAGCCAGUAGAAGAGGAAGUGAAGUGACAGAACCUAUUUGAAGGGACCCAACGGCAUGAAUGCAAAUACCUUAUCUCUCUCUGUAACCUCUUCCUUUUAAAUAGUGUCAUCAAAAAAGACGGACUCAGUCUUGCAUAAAUGUUAUGAAAAAAAGCAAAGAAGCAGGUACUCUUUCACACACGUUACUCUGGUUUGAGUCAUAUCCUCCUUUUUCUGAUUGUCAGUUUUUUUCCCUGUGUAUAUGAAAAAUACAGUAAUUGAUGUCUAUUCAUAUUACUAUCAUGUACGGUGUACAGGUAUCCUGAUUGUUAUUCUUCAAGCGCGUCUGCCUCUCGUAGAAUUUUACAUCAUGUAGCAGACGCUUCUGUCCAAAUCACCUGUCUCUGCAACUGAGGUUCCUUAACAGAAAAAUCGAACACACUUUGAUGUGGAGCUGUGUUUUCUCUUAAUUUAGCUUCUCUUUAUUUGAUGUUACACUGAAAGACAUGGCAGGAAAGGAUCAGACCCUGAGGUAAUUUCUUUUCAGAGCACUACAGCUCUUGUUAUUUCCAGCAUAAGUACCCAUAAUCCAGUUAGUGACAUUUCUAACUAACUUGCAUAAGAAGUAGCUGACAUGUAGUUUUACUCCUUUUACUGAGACUUCUGGUUUAUAAUUUGCCUUUUUACUUCAACAGUUGUGAAAGGGACUUCAACACUGUAAAUGUUUGGGAACCAAGGAAAGCAGUUUCUGAUGUUAUGGCGGUGAAAUACUUUUAAAGGGUUUUAGCUGCUCAACUGUUCAGAGUCUACAUUGUCAUGAUACCAGAUGUCUACAAUAGGUGACAGUCAGCACAGAUCAAAGUGCUGCCAGAUUGUGCUGUGCUGCUACAUGAUAUUGUCUAUUCGCUGUGCUGGUUGGCUGCAUUUCAGCACAACAUAUGACACGACAUAUGAAGGGCAUUUUGGUCCUACAGUGGUGAAAUAAGCCGAUGAGUAAGUGUGACAGUAUUAAGUAAUUUCAAGUAUUCUUUAGCCUUGGACAUUAGCUUUAUUGCCCUUUUUUUUUUUUAAUUAGAGACAGUAUUGUGUAUAAAAUGGGAUUACUGUUCUACUUAAAUAUACUAUCUUUCCGUUACUAUUCUUCAGUGCGCUCAUGUUUGUGAGUGUAAUUUUAUGAAAGGGUUGAAGAUGGCAAAGUGUUUUUCAUACAUGAAGAAAGUCUUGUCUCUAAGUCUUCACAUAUUUUAAGUCUGUCACGCUGAAUUUACAGCCCUAAAAUACAGAGAUCAGAGAAAACUAGAUUUAGACUCCCCUGCACAUAAACAGCAUAACACUGAUUCCAUUCACCAUUUCAUCUGCAGUAACUGAACCCUUUACUCUUGUUGAUAUUUCCUGCAGCAUGCCUUUACCUUGCACCUACUCCGCUUUCACCCCCCUCCAAUCUUUGCACUUCUUUAUGUGUGAAAACAUCCUGUCCUGUGAGAGGUAUGAAAAUGCUCUCGGUGGUACCAGAGAGUAACUGCGAUGACCCCAUACACCAUGUGUUUAAUAUUGUCACAGCUACAUUUAGUGUGCGUUAGUGUUCAUAGUUAAAGAUAAGGAGAGGGUCAUCAUUACUGUGUGUUUGUGACAGAGCAUAGUGUGUAGGUAGGGUCAUGGCAUCGAUGGGGACCGGGACUGACAUUCCGAUUCUCCCAGAAUCAUUCAAAUUUUAAAAUUUCGAUUCCAAGUUUCGAUGCCGGAGUCCACCGACCAGAAGAAAUAGCCGCCGAACAGGCCUUUAAUGGUUUUGCAAAAGGCAGUGAAGCUUUGCUGACGGAGUGUAGUGGAUUUAGAGUUUGUAUUAAUUGUGCUCACCCCUUACUUAUUUUUCUGUAUGGUCCCUCCAAACAACGCAGUUAUCGGAUGUGAUGUUGGACCUCUCUCUCUCCUUCCCUCUCUCUCCAUUUAAGUUGACAGUGUGUUCCAAAUUUGAGAGCAUUUUACAGAAAAAGUUGUUCCUACUACUUGUUCGCCUCAAGAGGAGUUUGCGUUGAAUUAAAUCAGUUCUAGUAAUGCAAAGUAAAAAAUAAAAAAAGACUCUUAAUUUAUUUAAAAAAAAGGCACCCAGGAUAUUUUUGCCCAGUAGAAUUAAAGCCCUGACUUUUAAAUGCAACAUAAGCUUUUCACAUUGAGAUCCCGUCACAGCAUCAUAAGAAAGCUCUUCAUACAUACAAGUGGGGCAUCAGUGUGUGUAUUGCAGCAUUUCAGAAGCGUCUCUCAUGUAGGCUAAGGGACUGAAUGACUAACACCUGCCAUCACGCCAGUUAUUUUGCACAGCAGAUGUUUUGCAACUGAAACAGCUGUAAGCAUCUUAAUAGGAAGGAACGUAAAUACAGCAAGGUCACACAACAGCACGUUAAUGAUGAUGUACAACCACUUUGAUUUAAAAGCAAUCUUUAUGUUGAUAGUUCAUGUAUCAUUUAUAAUGAAUCAUGAAUUGUGCAUUUUGAAGAGACAAGCCACACUUAUGUAUAUACUCUAUGUGUAUGACAGAUGAUUUUUCAGGCUGCCACAGGCAAGUAUAUUGAUGACAUAUAAUCCUGUGGCAAACAAUUUAAUUUUACAGCAUGAGUGACCGCAGCUUGUUGGGUCUGCAUGCAUCUUUGCUGUUAUUUAUUGACAAUAUGCUCAACAUGUUUUCAUACUGAAGAAGGUUAAGCUUUUUUAAUGUCAUGCUGAAAAGAUUAUGACGUUACAUACAAGUCCAAUGCAGUACGACAUGAGCAACAUACAAUGUAGAAAAUUAAACAGCUGGUGGGGGGGUAAAUUAGAGCAGGCCACUUAGACAGGCAAGAAUUUAUGCUUCACUCUGAAAAGGCUUUUUUCAGACCUUGAUAGAAUGUAAAUCAAUAUCACAGCACGACUCUUUCAAUAUAACCACAGGUUGUAUGCAGUUUGAGUAAUGGGAUUGCAUGCAUCUGUGUGGCUGGCAUUUACACACCUUCUGUCUGCAGGCUAGAAGCCGCCACUCCAAACCUGUGCUCGAUGGAUUUGUUUCACAUUUAUGUGCAGGUGGACUUUUAUGUUUUUUUGCUUAACGUUUGCAGACAUGGAAGAAGGUUAGAUAUUUUCUAAGGCUUCAAAUGUAAAGGAUGCUGUGUAAAAUGUAAACAGAAAAUGUGAUGGUUUGAAAACAUACAUACUUUUAGUUAUUGAUGAAAUUGGUGUGUGGUCCAGGUCAACAGAGGGACCUGUUGGCAAUGUUUAUGGAUGUUUGUAGGAUGAGGAUCAAAGCUGUGAGGUUAUUAUCAAUGCUUUUUGAAGCUCUGGGCCAUCUGAAGUGACUUACUGUUGACAGAAAUGUGGCUGGGGUGAGGGUAAAUCAACGCCAUGAAAGAAAUCAGAAAUAUUGUAAGAGCUGUGUUGAUUAAUUUGCAUUUGUGGCACAGUCGGAGUCUUUGAUAACCCAUGCUUUUCAGGGAUUACAUGAAAUAUGUUUGAAUCAUAAAAGCUGUAACAUGCAAUCUCAUCUGUCAAUAACAGAACAGAAACAGCUUUUGUCUCUGUGAAACUCGCUCUAUAAGGGUCGUGAAUCCCAUUAUAAGUCACAGAAAGAAAGGAUGGCCGAGCACACAACAGCUCUCACCACAGCUCUGGUGUAGGCAUGGAAACGUGAGCUGCAGACAUGUGUCAAGAGAUAUUGUUGGCUCUUUUAGCCAAACACAGCACUUACCAAGACUGCAACAGAUCAGAAAUUAGACAGUUCAGAUUGUGUCGCAUCCUUUUUGGGAUAAACACAUUAUCUAUCUACAUCUUUGAUAAACUAUAAAACUCUAAUACUUAAAACACUGAAGUUCUCUCCUCCCUCUUAAUGCAUGUGACUGUGUGUAAAUAAUUUGAAUUCCUCAUUGCAAAUGGUUCACAUUUUAGGAUUAUUGAACUGUAAAACGCCUCAUGGAGAGGUUGGAUGUGGAGUUGUCUACUAAAGUCUAAAGACAGUGCCCAUCAGAAAUGGCUUGUGAAAAAUGUUGAGUUGCAUGUCAUAUGAGUUUUUUCUUUUCACACAUUUGCUGCCAGAAGAGGGAUCAAUAACGAGGAAAGGACAGGCGUGAAAAGGGAAUGCGUGGUUAGACACAUCCACUCAUUGCUACAUAACCUCCUUUCUAUGCGGUGUCACACUUGGUUAAUGUUGUGGGGCUUAUCUGAAAGUCCAGAGGAUUAAUAAGUAGAUCCACACUAAUCUCUAAACAGAGGUUAGGAGCCAAUGAUAAAUCUGUUGACUGUUGUCUGGCUGUCUUUGUUGACAUAAAAAAAAUAUUGUAUCCUUAAACAUCACCAUGAGACAUAUUUGCCUACACUAAAUCCACCUUUUUCCCUUAAAAAAAAGUCUUUUUUUAGCCAGUUUGAAACAGUUUGUUUGAAUGAUUGGCAACAAGUUAAAGUGAGAUUGAUCAUCAAACUUACAUGUGUGAGCAUUGAACAGUAGAUAUCAGUACAGAGGUUCCUGAAGUGACACCGCCACCUAGUGCUGGUCAUUACAGUGAGGAAGCUGUAGUCUGGGCUCACUAAUCAAACAGCUAUUUGAUUGUUUUUUUUAAUGAGUCAUCGAAUAAGGCUGGUUUUUAAACAACCUUAAUCAACAGAUUUGAGAAGUGGACAGGAAUCUUUGGUCAUGUUUUGGCCUGGUUCCACUCUGACAUCUUUAACUGAGAGUUUUUAGUCAACUUCUUGAUCUGCUGUGUCAGAAAAGAUGAAAUGAGGGUAAUCUGUUCGGUCUCUACAGCCCGCUAACACGGACAGAGACGUGGUCGAGCUGCAAUCAUGAGAGGCAGAAUUGAGUCAGGCAUGAGUAAUUGCAGCUUCAGUGGCUGAUGGGGUGGAAUAAAUCUGUAAAUGACUUUGAAAUAAAUGUAGUGGCUUCGAUGUUGAGCCUUAAGUAAUUAUAUAUUUUUUUUCCUAGGCAGGAUGGACAGAAGGGGCGACUUAACAGUCUAAAAAUGGACCAACAUAUGAGGUGAGACUCACUCUGUGUGUGUAACAUUUUCAAACCCUUUACUAUCUAUCUGUGCUUUCUUAUUGAGUUCCUCUUUUGAGUAAAAAUAAGGCCCUCUGGUGUUCAAAGCAAAGCUGAUGAUGCACACUAAGAUCUCUGCAUGUUUUUUUUUCUGAAAUUAUAUUCUUAUUAGAAUAAAAUCUGCGAGAACUCAAUAACAAUCCCCAAACGAAGAAACCAUCUUACUCCUCCAGCAGGUAACCAUAAAAAAUAAACAGCAGGAAAUAAAACAAGUAGUGCAGAAAAACUUCUCCAUAUAAGUAUUUCUCAUGAAUAAUACAUUUAAGAGGGAGUUUCAUUGUCAGAGUUCCUUGGAUAAACCCCAAAUCAUCUAUGUUCGAGUUCCUCGUGCAGCAAAAAAAACUAUGUUUUAAAUCAAACCUCGCUUUAAUAAUGCAGCUGUUUCAGAAGGCCUCGGCAUAAAUCAGCUGCUUUGUUUGAAGCGUAAAAGUUGAAUGAAUAUGAAAUGAAAGGAACUCUGAAGGUGGAUUAUUUAUUAUUUAGUGACGUUUCAUCUGAAACGGACACAAUGUGCCAAAGAAGGAUGUGAGCUGAGAGUCACAUGGCAACUCAAGUUAGGUAAGGACAUGCAAAUCGGAAAUUCUUUUGAUCACUUUUGAAAGAGAGUAUUGCAGGAAUGUUACUUUUACACAAUACAGAGGGAAAAAAAAUCCUUUAUCACUUCAGGUUAACCCAGAUUAGAGUCGUUUUUCUUCAACAACAGAGACAAGUAAAUUAUGUCUGUGUUCAUCAUUUUUAUUUCAAAUAAAUCUAUACAACUACAUUUUUGGUGAUAAACAAAUUGAUAUUGAGAAGCUGAAAACAGAUAACUCCAUUUUUAAUUUUAAUAAGCACGUCUGUAAGUGUAGUUUCCUUAACGCUUCUGCCCAGGAUGCCAUUCAGCUCAGUUGUCAAGUUGUGCGUCUUAAAGACUCCAGUCCUUAAAAGCGUACAGCUCUCCCCUUCCCGUUUUCCCGUUUUUUCCACAAUCCCGUGUCUAAAUAAAGAUGAAAGACUGAGCAUAAAUUCAUGAAAAGGAAAUUCACAUUACAUCAGUAAAUUGAUGAACUGUGACAGCUUGAACUCUAACCCCAGUAUCAGGGGAAAAGUAAACACCUGAGGUGAAGAAAGAAUGCAAUACAGAAUAUCACCAGUAGAGAGCAGGAUUGCUUGUCCUAUUUAUCCUGACCACUCAGUACAUGAUCAUGUUUUUAACAGCAGGAUACUGAAGAUUUAUAAAGAUCAUGUAACCAAUAAAUGCUAGGUAGCUGCACUCUGCACUUCUACAUAAGACAUUUGAUUUUAAUUUAAACACAAGUGUCAAAGAAAAAUGCAAAGAGAGCUUUCAUAACCUGCUUAGUCUUGUUGUUUACAUGAUAAAUAUGUGAUACCCAGUAUGAUAUGAACCUCAGUGUGAACAGUUUUAGGAGACUGUAGCUUGAUCUGUCUAAAUAUAGUGUCACGUUAAACGACCAGUAGUUGUUUAAAAUGUGGUAAAAAAUAUAUUCCUGAUCACAAUAAACAUCAAAAUAAAAAGUUCCUCUGUGAAUGAGCUCUCAGAUCUCAGGUUUGGGUUUGUUUCAUGUCAAAGAUUUCACCACAUCAAUUCAUUUUCCACUCCUAUGGUGGUGCUGUAAAAAAAAAAGAAAAAACUCCAGCUGAAAUUUACCGGUGUCAGCAUCCUGCGACCGCUAAUGCAGAUAAAGUUUCAGUGUUUAUUUUUCACAUAAAUAAUCAUGCUCAUUCUACUCCGAAAAAAAACCUCUUGAAUGUUCAGGAGAGGUAUGAUAAAUUUUGUUUCCAUGUGAGAGAGUAAAAACAACUUUGACAGCAGCAAUGUUUUAACAGGGCAAGUGAAUUUUGGCACCACCAAAGGCACUUUUCCUGUACUUCUUUUUCAGAGGAGUUCAUACAACUCAGCUUAAUCAAGGCUGCUGAGCACAAAGGGGCUAUUUGUUUAAUCAUUUUGGCUCUGACGGGAGGUAUGCACAGACAACCUGGACUCACAGCCGCUGCUAGUUUGGUGUCAGUGUACAUCUAUGUGCCUGUGAACAUGUGUGUUCCUCCAGUGCAGUUAUAUGCUCGCCUCUGCUGUGUCUCUACUGUAUGCAUGAGGCGAAAACUGACUUUAAUUUUUCAUGAAGCCGUGCAGAUCUGAAAGGCUGUAGGAAGUAAAGCUUAUUUUGAGAUGUUAACAUUGAGGAUAUUGGGGUAUAUGGGGUUGCAGAUCUGGUUAGUGGCUACUACCAAAAUGCUUUUUUUGUUCUUAUACUUGGCAUCUUGUAGCAAGGUGCAGUUUGGCAGUAUUCAGAUAUAGAAAAUGGAGAUUAUGUUGUAUAGAGGCCUAUCACUGGACAGGAGCAAUGUGCAACCAGCCCAUGUAGACACAGGGAUUGCAGACUCUGCGAUCCCUUGUUAGAAACACACUGAGGUAAAUUUUGACUCUUUUCUGAGUAGGGCUGGGCGAUAAACCGAAAAUUUAUCGAUACCAAAAAUUAUGACAAUAACUGAUGUAGGACUGGGCGAUGAUCGAGUUAAAUUUCAGUAUGAUCACAGUGAUCAGCUGAGAGCAUAUUUACUCAAUCAGACAUAGAGGAAAUGUGCAUCACAACAGCCAAUCAGAGUCAAGCUUUUCCUGCUCACUUCUGUAAUUGCCGGAGAAGUAAACGGAAGAAGUAAACAGAAUGACUGAACAUGGAGCUGAACGCGGAGCUGAGGGCAGGAAGAGAGGUGUCAGCCGUGACUUUGAGUCAUCCUCCGAAGAUGUUAUUGUUGAGAAGUUAUUCAACGUCGGUUGUGUGGCGAUGGUUCAGGUAUCUCCAAAGUGAUGUCGAGUAAUUAAGCCAAUGAGCAAAGUAUGUCGGUGAUCGGUGCCCUCAAAAACUGGCAACACAACAGAUCUGUUUAAUCAUUUGAAGUUCUUCCCGAGUGAUUAUGCAGAAAUCAUGAAAAUGCAAGCAGAGUCUGUACAGCCUGUCACUGCUGAUGGCACGAGUAGCAUUAGCAGUUUAGCUACAACUGGCAGUGCAGCCACGAGACCAAAGCAGCAAUCAAUCGUAUCAUCUACAUUUACAUCGUCUAAUGUUUACAUUUUAAGGCAUGUUCAUUAUCUCUGAAGGGGCGAUUUGUUUAUUUUGGGUCUUGCAUACCUGCAAAAACACUCAGGACUGUAAACUAAUUCACUGUAUUAUUUAGUAUUUAUUUACAUUUGUUAUACUGUUGAGGUAAAAUGUUUUUUAUAUUUUUCUAAGUGUAUCUUAUUCUUUGUUAUUUACUUUGUAUGUUAAUAAAAUUUUUAACUAAUCUCUAGUUUCUUAAUUUUUAGUACAGAUGCUUUAAAACAAGCAGUUAAAAAAAAAUCGUGAUAAUAAUCGAGAUCGGACGAUAUGACAAAAUAUAUUGUGAUCAUUUUUUUUGCCAAAUAACCCAGGCCUACUCCACCCCAACCGGUCCGUAACAAAGAGGGAAAGACAGGUGAGGAGAUGGAGAUGGAGAAAGUUAAUGUGGAAGGGGGUGAACAGCUUGUGGAGUAGUUAUCGUCCAUUUAUCAUUAUCGAGGUGAACUGCUCAAUAUAUUGUGAUAUUGAUUUGAGGCCGUAUCCCCCAGCCCUAUUUCUGAGUGUUUUACUUUUCUUCAUUCUGAAAGAUUUUAAUCAGAGAAGCAAGUUUAAAAUCCUUGACAUUCAGUACAGAUCAGUUUGUUGGUCUCACAUUUAUGUGUCUGUUUCAUAAAAAAGUCAAGUCUCUUUAGAUACUUGCAGGAUGAGUCAGAGUAUCGAGAAAGCUUUUGGAUCUGUCUAUCUGAUGCCUUGAGUUUUGAAUGACUGCAGCUGGCAUGGCUAAAAAUAGUGUAGGUGUUAAAAGGAAUAAGUCGGCAAAUUUUCAUGCUGCAGGUCUUUUUUUUUUAAAGGCUCUAGUUGCACAGGAUUCUGUGAGGUUAGCCCUGUGCAAAGUAGCAGCUCCAUCGCAAUUGUCUCAGAAAUCCUUUGAGCCUUUCAUCCCAGAUCUUAUUUCGUCUGCUCUGAACGUCUGUUUGAUCAAGUGACGGGACGGAGCGCUUUAGAGGUGUAGUAUCUGCCCUGCAGCCAUGUUUUUCUCUAAAGCUGUUAUUUAUGUAAUGCGCGGCACCUCCCCCCUCCACAAAAGUCCAACCUGAAGCUGUCAGACACAACUUAAAAGUACAGUGCCGUAAUGACCUUCAGCGUAAAAUAGCUACACACUACCUGAGGCCCUGACAGCACACUGUCAGCACAGCGUCCACUUCUUACUGUACGCCGCCAGCCUUUCAAGCAAAAAAAGAAACCAUGUGAGCAACCUGAUCCCUGUUGACACAGAGUUUAAACGACAGUAUUCCACAAACACGGAGGCAUUGGGCCUCCUCUGGGGACUUGUAUGAACCCGCAGCUUCUGUGUACAGUUUAAAAAGCUAGUAGAUGAUUAGAAGGAUCAAAUGGCCAGGGGAUAAAACCACAAAGGGGUGCUCUGCCCCGUGUGAAAACAUUAAGGUGCUCAUUAUGAUUACUUACGACCUGUUGACUCACUGAAAUUGCUGUGAAAUUGGCCAUACUGUAGAGGAAUUCUGCGCCCAGACAGACAGUAAUUGCAUUUCCUGUUAGUCUCCGAGUCCCCCUCUCUCUCCCUCGCGAUGUGUUUGAGUGUGUGACUGAACACCUCUGUCAGCUGCCCUUGAUCACAGAGAGUCGACAGAACUAGUUCUAGCAGAGACAGUCAAAAGAGAUGAAGGGAAACAGCACAUAUUACACUCUGGUUGCAUAUGAAGUGAAAACCUUCAGAGAAUGUUUUAAAUUAGGGGUUUUUUUUAUCAUCAUCAUUGUGAAAACGGCUUUUUCCAAGACCUCACAAAUUGUCUUGACCCUUUAAGGCAUAAGUCGGCUUUAUAGGAUUUUUUUUUUUUCUGAUGGCACUGAUUGUCAAGAGAGCUGUUACCUUCAAAACCUGUGUUGGCGUAUGCGCACAUGAGGCACGUAUAAAAACCCUCCCGCUGAUGUGAAACGCAACUCCAGAAAACGCUUGAGUGCAUCCAGGCCCUCCUAAUGGCGCUUAGCUGGGAGAACACGCUCACUCCUCCGUGUCCUGUUCGAUAAAACCGGGGUUUGGAUGCGUGCCAUCCUGAGGGGCUUGGCAGGAUGCAGUGACUCGCUGAGGUUUGAAACCCCAUUAAAAAUUGUCACUUUAUUUUAAGCAGCUGCCACACUUGUGAGUCCCACAUCCUUCUGGAAAACCAAUCAGAGCCUCAGUGCCGGCUGGGGAUUGGCCAACCGACACUCAUACUGUGAUUGUCUGAGCUGUUAAAGUUUGUUUCCCUCUCGAUGACUUUAGGGUAAUGGUGGCUUUUAAUUUUCUUGUCAGCUGAAUUAAAAGGCGUCUGUCCGGCCUGUUGUGCCCCGAGACGCUGGGAAAAGAUUAUUUAUGAAACUUUCACAGCAUACCUGACUAAACCAUGAUGGUGGUGUGUGGGCCAGCCCAUAAUCCCAACUAGAUUUAUCGAAUUAGCUACAGCUAGACGCUUUAGAGCACAGACUGCAUAAUUCUCAAAUUUACCCUCCUGUAACCCUCCUUUGUCAGCUCAAAGCUGGGUUACAGUGUGUUUUUUCAUAUGCAUGUAUGUUUAGCUUUGACUUCAUGAUUGUAACGUGUUAUAUGUAACCUACCUAAUCUGUUUUACACACACAGAUGGGAGACGGGGCAGAGAAGACGAUGUGAGAGAGCAAAGGAGCGAAUAUGGACUCCAGGCAGCAGGUCCCAUGUUCCUGAAUUCAGAGUAAGAAACACCACAUGAAGGUCAGUGACCAAAGUUAGGCCUUAAUGUCAAAGUGCAAGGUUCAAACCUCACCCCCAGGUACAUAAGAGAAGGCUGAGUCUUAGUCUUCACCUGUUUUGCUCACACAGUAACACACACUGCAUGUAAAUGGGCGGCAGUAGCUCAGGAGGUAGAGCGGUCGUCCAGUAACUGGAAGGUUGGCGGUUCGAUUCCCCCCUAUCCCAAGUCUGUCCGUUGUGUCGUUGGGCAAGACACUUAACCCACCUUGCUCCCAGUAUGUGUCCUCUACUGGUGUAUGAUUGUGAGUGUUGUGUGGUGGUGGUCACAGAGGCCGUAGGCGCAAAAUGGCAGCACAUACACAAUGAAAUACAUAAACCUGUAUUAAUAACUAGUAUAUAUGUCAUAUCUAUAUACAGUAUAGGGUGUAGUCCACUUUGUAGAAGAAAAAAUGAGUAUCUUACACUCAUUUUUUGCAUUUCUUGUUUAGGGUGACUAUACGUCCUCUUUUUUCUGGACAUGUCCUCUUUUUUUGGGGGCUGUCUGGCCUUGUCCAGCUUUGUCUGGUGGAGUUUAUAAAAUCCUUCAAAUGUCCAGAGUUUUGUAUGGAAGUUUUGAGUUUGUGUCGCGUGGACUUACUGAGUCAGAAGCGCGUAAAAAACUCUCAACCCGACCUGAAAAACUCUCAAAAUUUACUAUGUGCGACUCAGUGACUCCGCCCUGUGUAGUAGUGUCCUCUUUUUGGUGAUUCAGAAUAGUGCUGGACGAUAAUUCGAUAACAAUAUAUAUCGAUCGAUAGACGUGUGGUGCGAUAGAAAAAAAACGGGUCGAUAAAAAGUUCGAUAGAAAAACACAGUUUCCCUUUCUUUUUCAUCAUAGCCUAUCAUGUAGCUUUUACUACAGUCAUUACUUCCUCCUAACCAAUCACAAACGCAGACCCAGGUACGCUACGGCACCAAGCCCAGCCCCUAUCAAACCACAACAGACAGCACGUGUAUUAGAAAAAAUGAUACAGCACGGAGAAGCGGAGUACAUUGUCCCGAAAAAAGGUUUCAGUAGUUCACCAGCAUGGCAAUGUUUUGGUUUUUAGAAGUCUGACAAAAAGCGAACAGCGGUCGUUUGCAAAAUUUGCGGAGAAUUAGUAAAAACCAAGUCUGGUAACACAACCAACCUGUUUUACCAUCUAAACCGAUCGCACCCGCAGGAGUACGAGCUGUGUCGGCCGCGCCGCGGCUCCACGUCGUCGUCGGAGGAGGAAUCCUCUGGAACCGCUGCCAGCACCAGCACAAAGCAUGUGAAGCAGACCAAACUGGACUUUGUUUCUUGCCAAAAUACGACAAAGCGUCCGAGCGGCAUAAGGACAUCACCCAUGCAGUAACAUGCUCCAUAGCGAGGGACAUACUGCCAAUAACUACCGUUGAAAAGCCUGGCUGCAAACAGCUUCUAGCCACUCUCGACCCGCGAUAUGAAGUGCCCGGCCGCAAGUAUUUCUCAAACACAGCGCUUCAGGCAUGAAAAUGGGUCAGGGGUUGAAAAGGUGAGAAGGGUGCGGAGGAAAUACGUUCAAAUGAGCUCAUAUUUUACAAAGACGCGAGUAUUUGGAUCAUGGCUACUAGCAGGGGGUGCAUUCGGCAGGGGUGCAUUCUACGACACAACACCGGCGUGGAUAAGUCCUGCUUCUCGUGCUUAGUUUGUGUAUUAAGUCAAUCACAUGAUAAUUAAAAAAAAAUAAAUCUCCCGACCCCGGGAGAAAUAUUUAAGUGUUCAGACACCAGGCUGUGGGCAGUUUCCCACACAGUUAAAACUGGUAGUAUGCUAUUCCCACCUAAAGCUAUUCUGUUUAUUUAUAUAUUUGUUUGUUUUGUUUAUUUUCAUCAAAAGACUAUUUAAAUAUUUAUUUAUCAGAUUUUCUGGUCACUUUAGUCUUUAUGUUUGUCAGUAUUUACUGACGUCACUCAGGCCACUUAAGUUGAUUUCUUUUUUUUUUUAGUUCUUUUUUAAAAAAAACUUUCAGUUGUGGUAAAAUGAAAAGGUGGUUGAAUAAAGGUUUGAAUUUGAAUUCAGUGCUUGUGUGUUCUUUAUUAAAAGUAGGUCAUUAAGCAAUAGCAUAAAACAUCCAGGGCUGCAAUUAAAAUAUAUGUUAAAUAAUUAUAAUAAUUAUAUCAAUAAUUAUCGAUAUCGAUCAAUAUGAUUUAUUUUUUAUCGAUAUGCUUUUUUUCUAUAUCGUCCAUGGUGAUUCAGAAUAUGGUCACCCUAUCUUAUUGAUAUUUUUUGUUGUUGCUGAGUCCAUCCUGGAUACUUUAUCUAAAUGAAAACUUCAGCUUAGGGGUUAAAGCGUGCACCACAUGUAUAGAGCUUCAGUUUUCAUCGCUGCUUUCUCAGGUUCAACUCCCUGUUGUUACACUUUAUUGCACCUCAUCCUCCACUCUACACUUUCAGCAUUGCUCGCCUCUCUUCAGCUGCUCCCUCAAUAACAGAAAAUACCCUGAAAGUGUACUCGAGACAGAAAACUAAUGUUGAAUCUCUGAAUUUAUACGUUUUUACAUCCAGAUGUCAGUAACUGUAUAAAAACAUACAUUUGUAAAGCUUCACUGCAGCUGGCAGGGAUGCUGUUGAGAGGUUAAAUUUGAUUGAAACAGUGAAGUUAGAGGCCCAUAAAACCAAAAUGAUGAACCGAAAGGAUUGACAACUACUGUGCGGGAGUUUUAACUCAAAAUCAAGUAAAACGGCCAAACUGCACGGCUAUUUUUAAUGAGGGCGGUUACGCUGUCCCUACCGUAUCUUCAUAUUUCUUUCUUCUGUCUGGUUCAGCUGUAUAGCUCUACAUACACAGUCACACGAAAACACACACUCUCUGUAAUGUAUGUGGAACAGUUUUGUCUUGCUUGGUGGACAUCAAGCUGGCAAUUUAGUCCUUAUAGCAUGCAGAUGGUUGGUGUCACUCCAAGGUAAACCUCUGCUCUGCCAGACAGAGUGCAUACUACCUGCCAGCAGCCUCCGCUCUAUCAUGGUCUAGUAGGAUCCACCAACCCUGCACAGCUAGUAGGCGUCUGCCUAGCAAAUCCGUACACACAGUCUAGUUCCUGUUGUUCCUGUGUCCUCAAACGGCUAGAGAUGAGUAUAAACAAAGCCCAGAAUUCCAGCUGUUUAUUGUUACAGGUACAUGCAGUCAAGGCCUAGCGACAGGGGUGAGAACGCCUCUGUUUAUUUUAUAUCCAGUUCUGAAGUGUGCCUGGAGACACACCGAACAGGAUGAAUAACACAUUUAGGAGGAAAGAAAAGACAAAAAGCAAAAUAAUCAACACUGGAGCAGAAAGACGGAGGGGGUGUGUGGAGGGAAUCUUGGCCGAAUUUUGCAACAGCAGCACAAAAUUGCGAGACCGAAAUGUUAGUAGAAACAUGUCCUUUCAGUGCUUUAUGAAAAAAUAUUUAAGAACUGGGAGAAAUGGAGGGGAAGAAAGGCGAAACGGCUUUGUUUUUGUCUAUGAGAGCUAAAAUGUUUGCCUAGGCGGAGUGCCAGCGCGGAGGACAGCCUGCUGCAGUUCUCCUGUUCUGGUGGGCCCUGAAGCAGAGGUCAGUUAAGACUGCUGAAAUCAAAUCCAGUGUCUCCCACCCACAACAACAAUGUGGCAGAAUGGCCCAGGGGUAAUGACAUGAUUAUGUUGUUGUGUUCUGGGCUAAAUCUAACAAGAAGUUCAGGCCCGGCCCUCACUGUCUCUCUAGAUUACAGAGACAUGCGAGGUCUGUCUGAGCGAAAGCCAGGUGCCUUAUCCUAUCGCCUUGUGUGGCACAGAAACCGCUGAAUUCGCAGAACUUCGGCAAGUCUUGGCAGUCCGGCGUUCUCGAGGAUAUCUCGUAUCCCCUUUCGUGUUUGAGACCUGUUCGACAUCUCUGUCAAACAGCCGCGCAGCGCAGACCUGAUGACAAAAGCAGACUACUACUCCAUGAUGCUGAAGGACCUUUUUUUUUUUUUUUUUAAAUGAGAUUGUUCCUGCACAAUGCAAAUUCAGCAACUCUGACACUCUCCAGCCAAGCUCUUAUGAAACAAAACCAAAUCCUAUUUAAGACUUGGUUACACAUCUGCUGAGAGCAACAUGAAAUUUAACUCCACAUUUGAGGUUAUCUUGAGCAAAUAGGAGAUAAACCUUAAUGAGGGCUAAAGUCUACAGUUGAUACAAAGCUGUGUGAAAUGUUAAACUGAUGCAGGACCUUGCUUAAUCAGAGUGAGCCAUGGUUUUCAGAUGGUAUUUAGAUAUGUAAAGCUAACAAAUGAGGCUUUGCUAUGAUAGUGGCAGGCUCUUAAUGUUAUUUCAGCAGCCAAGUCUGCUUCUUUCUAGUGGUUAGAGGAGCUUAGACAGUUUCCUCAGGCAUGGACUACGCAUAUUUGGGUAUGCACAUUUUCGUCGAAGCGUGUAAUUGCGAUAUUAUUGCCAUGAAAUAUUAGUAUGCAAGGUCCACAGAUUCAGAAAUGUGACAUGGCAGCAGUUUGUCUUCGAAAUAACGCGUGCCUUAAAUUUAAAAUUGAAGUCUCAUUUAGCUGCAUGACUGGAUCCUCUUAAAAGCCGCGCACACGACUCAACCACAGUGUUCAUUUGGACAAACAAAUUAAGAUAAUUCCCAAUGACUGUUAUCAGUUAUCAGAUUGAGACUACCUACAACCACCUAUGUAAACUCAGGCCCAAAUUCUGGGCACAUAACCGUUUUUGUAGAUUAAAUCUACACUCGGCGGUUUAGCCUCUAUUUGUCCUUUUCCCGUUUUCCUACCACCCCACACACCUCUCAGCUCCACAUCAAGGAAUGCAUUUUUUCAGUCACGCCCCUACAAUCCUGACAGGUAGCGACUGCAUGAGAGGACAGCUUGUCCUGCGGAGCUACGCAGGGGCUGCAGGGGCCCAUGUUUGGCUUGGAUGCCAAUGAAUAACAUUGUAUGGAGAGAGGAAAUUAAAAAUGCAGAGUUGUAAUUUACUGGAGAGUGGAACUGAUUUAAAAGCGGGGUUUUUUUUCUCCUCCUCGCCGCUUUGCUUGAAGUUUUCCAAAUAUGCCACAGCUGAGUGUGAACUGAGCUUCGUUGUACAGGCAAUAACAGGGCAGGCCACGCUGCCAGCUCUCUCCACUGUGCCCCCUCUUCUCUGUUAAUUCUUGGCAAAGACAGGAUCAUGGUAAGGUAAGCCUUCAUGAGAUCCAAAUGCUAGACAUGCCUAACUGAUUUCACAUCUCAAGUUGAACGCAGCUUUAUGCUAUCAGGAGAAACGGAGAGGCAUUUCCCCCCACGGUUAAUCCGCGAGUGUGUGCGCCAAGGCGAUGACUGAUAGCAUGAGCAACAUUUUUCUGAUUAUUGGUCUCAUAGUGGGCAUGGGCUGCCUGCUUGUGGUCUCUGUGGGUGGUUCCCUGGUGGGACGCAGGUAACAACAGAUUAAUGGAGUAAUGAAUCUAACUUUACGAGGCAAUCUGGCCCCCAUGAAAUUGAAACGCCUGCCUUUUGUUGCCCAAUUCAAGAGUUCCCCCGAAUCAUAAAAAAGAGAAACGGCAGCAUUUUUUUGUUUCUGCUCUUUUAUCUCCAACGUUUUGUCAGGAGUAAUUCCGACAUCAACCAACGGCAAUGUCAGAAUCACUGAUUUGGACUAAGUACCCAACCCUGGCUAGCUGCUGAGUUAAAGGAAACUGCACUUGGAUAUUUUUUUUACAGCCUUCUCCCUUUAUAAAACCUCAAAUUUGCUGCUGGGUAACUCAACCACUUCCUCUCUUCCUGUGAGAUCAGGCAGUCAGGCAGGGUGAAGCCAAGCAGUGCAGGGGCUUCUGUGGCUAGCAAACAGCUGGCACGGUACUCACUAUACCUUUGGCACCUGUGGGUGGGCGUCAACACAGUUGGCUAAACAAACAAGACCAUCAUCCAGCUCUCACCGCAGCCGUGAACGAGGGGGAUGGCAUCAGAGCGCCACCUAAAGCUUCGGAGGGCUGGAACAAGACAUAGAAGUAGACUAUUUCACAAGCUGACAUGUCAGGACUGGGGUCUGCAGGUUUAAAAAGUAGAUGAUUAGUAGUAUUUUUGUGUUAUUUCUAUUGUUUUGCCAGGAGUCAGAUGUGAUAGUUUCCCUUUUGGUUUCAGUCCUGCUGCUCUCCUGCAGAUGGCGAUGUUGUCCUGAACUGAGCGGUGUCUAAGCAGUGCCAAAGCCUCUCUAUGUGUGAGGCCUUUUUCCUAAUUGGUGACUUUUAACAAGCCUAUGUAAAUAUCACCAUGUCUCCAUCUCUUAUCCACUCCUGGCCUGGAGCCUGAUAUCAAACACUUUGUCACAUGAUGUUUGAAAAUGAGGAGACGGAGGUGACGGGUCAGGGUGAGAUUGGGGAUUUUUAUUUUGGUCUGAGGUGUGGCCAGCUUUCAGAGCUUUUUUCACCCGAGUAAGUUUCUCUCAGAGGGUCCACAUCCAGCGACAGAAAGGUAAACUAGAUGAAUGAAGUGGCGACUGAUCUGUUUGCCUAAAACAAACUCAAACUGGAAAUGUGCCUUAGUUACGGUCACAUGGUAGACGUUAGGGCUGCUGGGGCGCACACCAUCACCACCGGCGGAAUUUUCCUAAAACAAGACACGAAAAUUUGAGGGCCAGAUAGACAGAAUCGAAACGGGUGAGGAGAGAAGGGGACCCUCCAGAGAGGAGUGAAACUUUCCAAAGGUUGACUGUGUUUAUGUGCGGCUGGCAGGGCCUAAAAUUGAGUGAAGGGUGCCGGGGAAAACAGACUUGUCGCAGCAUCUCACAUAUCAUCACAGCCUGUCCUUAUUACUAUCAGUUCAUCUUCUACCUCUCUCAGUGCCUCCCUCUCUCAGUCCCGCCUUUGCUCUUCUUUUCUCACACCCCAAAUGUGCUGAUGUGCAUCCUGGAAAGGAAGGCACGAAAAAGGCCUGGAGGGCACGCCUGGGAAGAAGCCAGACUUCCCACUUUAUCCCCCCUAUUCACAACCUCCCCCAUGAUGACACAGCUUUUCUUUUCCUUGACAUGAGCCCAGAACAAUAGUGGACAAAGCUGAAUCACUACAAUAAUAGCUCGUUUCACUGCGGCUAGAAUAGAGCUGUAAGUGGAAAGAUCUGCAUCAGAGUAUUUUUUGUUUUUUGACAGACGUUCAUUUAUGUUGAAUAAACUUGAUUUACAUUGAUAGAUCACUUUAAAGAUAGGCAAACCUUUCCAUGACUUUCAUACAAAGGCCACAGUGUAUCUUAUGUCACCAUCGCCUCAUCUCCAUCAGCACACAGACGUUUACUCUUCAGCUCUCGGCCUCCGGUAUGACAGGCACACUUGGAACUUUUGUAUAUGAUAAACUAUGUGAUAGGUGACCCCCACCAACCCCCUCUCCACCUUUUCCUCUUUCUUCUACCUCUUCACAUGCCCUUAUUUCUCUCCUCUUCUCGGAUUUCUCCCUCUUCCCUUCAAGCGUCCCCCCCAGCCUCAAACCCAAGCUGCUGGCUGUCUGCCCACAGUCCAGGAUGUGAGUGCCCAGUGACGCUGUGUGAUCCCCGGGGAUGGGGAACCAGCAAGGGGGGCUGCUGAUGGUGGUCAAACACUGAAUGAGCUGAGCGGCCGCAGGAGAAACCACAGUGUGCGUUCGUGUGUUGUAGCGUGUGCGUUGGUGCGAACCCUGAUCCCGUGGGUCAACAUACUGUGUCCUGCAGAUCUAAUAAUGGCCGAGCACACACUCACACACUCACAUUGUGUUUUUGGGGUCUGUUCAACAGCUCACACGCAUUAACCCGGGCAGCGCUGUUGAAAGCAUUAUAUGCCCAGUAACUCUGAAAAGUGAGCCAUUUGUUAGAAGAAGCUGUCAUAAAGAGAUUCCCUCAUCUAAUAAUGAGGUUUGUUAAGUUUGGCCAAACAAGGCCACGGCUGCACACUGCGGUGAAGCUUGACCACUAAGCCGAACACUAGAGGGACAAGUGCACAAUCAAAGCCGAAAAGGGUCUUGACUUGUAAUGAACUGUGCUGUGGGGACCUGUUAGUUCUUGCUCUGGCUUAGAGCUUUGAAACCAAUGAGACAAAGUGUAUUAACUUAGGGCUGGCCGAUAAACCGAAAAUUUACUGAUACCGAAAUUUAUGACAGGAACCAACAUCAUUUUGCCUAUAUCAGGGUUUUUUCUAUUUCUUUUUUUACUAUUUUUACUUAAACAAGAAGAGUACAAGAUAAACAAAGAUAGAUACAAAAAAAGUAUAUAAACAAUAUUAAAAAUCCCAAAAACAAGGAUAAGGCAGGGCAUGGGGGGAUGAAUAAAUAAAAGUUUGUUUUGGAUGUGUGUAGGUAGGAUAUGGUCUCAUGUCCCUUUUAAGUCAGAGACAUGACGCCACCCCCUCCAGUCAGUAACAAAGAGGGAAAGACAGGUGAGGAGAUGGAGGACAGUUCAAAAGUUGUAGCGGCUGGAGCGGUGGCUAAAGUAGGUGACGUUAAUGUGGUAGGGGGUUAGCAGCUUGUGGAGUAGUUUUUGUCCAUUUAUCGUUAUCCAGGUAAACUGCUCAAUAUAUCAUGAUAUUGAUUUGAGGCCAUAUCGUCCAGCCCUAUAACAGAUAAUCCUAAACUGAUACUCUAUAAACUCUUGUAUGUGUUCCCUUACAUGGAAAAUAUAGUUUUCAGUGGAAAUCUAAACUUGUUUAAAAUUAAAUAAAAGGGCUUUUUUAGAUUUGUGUAUUUACAUCCAAUCUAGAUAAGAAAUCUUUCAUAAAAAAUCAACAGAAUCAGUGUAGAGAUUUCCAAGAAACACAACCCUUUAUGCAGAGUUGUAGGAGGUUUUUCUGUAUUUUAUGAUCAUGGCUCGGUAGAUCCUGAGCUUGGAGGUGAUAAUUCGAAACCACAUACUAUGAAAUCAAUGCAAGUUAUAGACAUUCAUUCACCGCUUUUACAACAGCUUUUAGAUACCAUAACCACACAUCCAUGUUUACAGUGGAUUUGUCCUGCUGGUGGAAGUGAGAAUGAGAGAAAAUUUACAGAUAUCAGCUUUCGUUUUGUUGUUAAAUCGUGCGAGUGUGUGUUUUGUGUUGCUCUGAUGCGAAAAAUAUGUGGAUUUUAGCAAACACACUGCUCUGAUAUUUUUAGAGGUUUGUGUGCGCUUUCGAAGUGAUGUGUGAGUGAUUUGACUCCCUGUAAACGACUGCAGGGCUGUUGACUUGUAAAAACUACGUUAUGAGUGUCGUUGGGGAGAAAAGGCUUUGUUAGCAAGCUGUUGCUGUCCAUGUUCAACCCUUGAACAUGUAGAGAGUUCAGAGUGAGAGGAAUUUUAUCGCCAGUUGAAUAAAUUAUAUAUUAAAUUUUCAGAUUGAAUGGCAAUUUUAUCCAAAGAUUUAUGAAUAUUUGCAAAUGGGUCAGAGCUGCAACUAUUUCAGUUGCAUAAGCUCCCAACCUUAAAAAUAGAUUUCAAUAUUUAAGGAGCUGCAAUUACUUGUUGUGGUGCAGCCUCUUUUCCAUUGCCCUGCAGUAACUGGUGGUUGAUGAGAAAUUUCUGCUAAGACUUGCAGUGUUAUAUCACUCAAGAGCAUCAUGCGCCACUUAGCAGGCAUCAGGAAUCAGUCUUCCAAAUUCAAGCUCACAUAACCGAUCAAGUUUAUCAGUCAGUGCUGAUUUGGGGGUGGUUGAUAUAAGCCUUCAGUCACUCUCUUUUACCUGGUCUCAAUGGCAUGUGACACAGAGAUUACAAGUGAAAAAAAAAAAAAAAAGAGCUGAAGAGAGAAUGAGGCGAAUAACGGUAUUUCGUUUGUAGAUGUGGUGGAUGUAGAUGCACCAGUAGCAAAAUAGGUGCACAGUUCUUGGAGAGUGGCUGAAAAAUGUCAUUUGGUUAUAAAAAUGGCACAAUAAACUGUUUUCAUUGUAUAGACUGUGGGACUGAGGUUGCAGGUAACAUAACAUUUGCAACAGAUCCAGGCAUUAUGUUUCUCUUUUUAGCAUUCCUAAUUUAGAGUUAAUUCUGUCAUAGAAAAAUUAGAGAGGUCAUGGAAUUUGGAAGAUGUCAUUUCCAGGCAUGGGAAGGUUUUGGAAAGGUUUGGAAAAGUCCUAAACCCAGAAAGUAUAAGGACAGUCAUGGAAAGUAUUUGUAUAAAGAAUGUAUGUAAUUGAGUUGAGGUUGACUGAGAAACUUUAUACUGGUGUAACAAUGUUGUAAUGGCAUAUCAACAGGCCUCUACCUUCUCCCUGUCGUAAAAAAGCCCAAAUACCACCUCGGCUGGCACUGACAUGGCAUGAGUAUUCACCUGCAUGUGCAUACACAUGCUGCAUUGUUCGACAUCAAGUCUCACCAGGAUGCUUAAAGAUUUACCACAAAACAUGCAUGUUUUCAAGGUGCUUGCAGGGAUAUUAGGCAAGGCGAGUUUAUUUGUAUAGCACCAUUCAUACACAAGGCAAUUCAAAAUGCUUUACAAAUGCAAGGAAAUACAUAGAAAAAUGAAAAAAGGAGAGAUUAAAACAAUUUACAAUCAAAAAGACAUAAAAUGAUUUAAAAUCAAUACGACAAACUGAUAUUUUUUUCUUUUUACGUCUGUUCCAUGUUUGCCCUGAACAUCUCAGAAAAAUUAGAUAAGUCACAAGCUUUCAGGCUCCCCAGAUGUCAACUGGUUUUCUCAACCGCAAAUGCAAGUGAGAAUUCCAAAUUCAAAUUCAACUUUAUUUUUAUGGCCCUUUUCAGACAAAAAAUGCAGUUCAAAGUGUCUCACAGAGGCUAAAAACAACAAUUAACAACAAUAAAAUCCAACCCUCCCACCCACACACACACCCAUGGACCCACAUGCACACAAAGGCACACACCCACAAACACACAAGCGCACACACACACACAACCGCACACAACUGCACAUAAUGUGAGCGUUUAAGAUAUAUUGUUAGAGAGACAUGGUCUGACACCGAGACAUUAUGUGAGGGAAGAGCUACCUUUGGGAAACACUGGAGAUAAAAGAUAAAAAUGGUGAAAGGAAAGACUAAAACCUAAAGGACUAAAACACCAUUUUAAAAAGGGGUAAAAGAAGUAAAAACCUCCAAGAACAGAGGUAAUUAAUAAAGUGACAUAAAAUAAACAAUAAGAACUUUGAUUAAAAUGAACAUUUGCAAUAAAAGAAAUAUAAAAAUGCAAUUGGUAAAAAGCCUGGUGAGUCUUGAGCCUCUUCUUAAAAACAUCAACGGUCACUAUGGCUUGACAGCUUGUUUGACAUGUAAAAAAAUUGAGGAGAAGACAGAAACAAGCUCAAACUGUAAGAGACAUCUAUCUAAAAUACACCCAGAUAAGUAGUGGAAAUAUUAAAUUACUUGGACAGUUGAUAUUGUUGCUGUUAGCUAGCUGCCAGCCAAUGUAAGGGGUUCAGGAGAGACGUGCUGCAAUAACAGAUCAUUUGUAAAACGUAGAAAUAGUGAGUUAUUUCGUCAUUAUUCUUAAAAUCUUAUUAAAUACUGACUAACACAAUCACAUUCAGCAUAUUUCUUAUAACCAGAAAGCCCAAAAUAUUUAUAAUAUGAAUGAGUAUUGAGAUUAUCUAUUCAUCCCAAAAUCAACACAAGUCUCAAUCAAAUGAAGAAUAACUGGUCGUCUUGGCGCUUCACUCUCUUCCUCUGUAUAGUCAGCAUCGGUUCACGAUGGUUUGACAGUAACCGCUAAAGAGUCAAACACAGUCCCCCUUUUCUCCUGUGUCAACACCCCUAAUCUUGGGGGUUGGUUGUGGAGGGGUAGCGCCGGUGGUUUGACCUCUUGUUGUAUUAGUCCUGACAGGUUUUAACAGGAUUAGAACCCCUCAGCCCGCUUUGGAAGAACAACAGAGAGAAAGUGGGAGAAAUCAGGAUACAGAGAGGUUGUGCUUGUCAUAAUACACGUGUGCGAAGUCGACUGGGUUAAAGUUUGACACACCAAAGGCCUGGUAGGAGUUUGUGUGAGUAUGUAUAGUAUGUAUGCAUUCAUGUGUACAGAAGUUUCGGCAGAAUGUGGUGAACAGACACUCACAUGCUGUUUGUUUUUAUAAUUGCGUUGUGGGACGCCAUCGCCUCCCUGCCCCUGCUCCCAAAUGUCAAACAAGAUUAUUUGGGUUGCCCUCUUCUCUUCUUAAGUUCUGACGACUGAGCGGUAUAAAAAAUGACUAAGCCUAUAGCUUCCCCAAGUGACUCACAAACGCACAAAGAGAGUCCAAUUGCACGCACAUUCAAAACCUAACCGAGACUAAAUUUUAACCCCAAUCCAAAACAGAAAUAAAGACGCGAAACCAUAACAAAUGGAGUUUUUGAAAACAAAGGAUCCACUAUUUUCAGUACAAACAUAUGCAGGAAAGACUGUUCCUCUUCUUCAAUGACCGAAACAAAGACUCCUUAAAAAUAUUCUGCUUUGGUUUUGAGUUUGCCGAAAGAAAUUGGAUUGGGGUUCAAAGCUCUUUCACUGAAGGUCUUCCCAGUACAACAAGAACCAUGCAGCUUGAGAAAUAGCACAUGGCCGGAGAAAAGAAAACAUACUAAGUGUGUGAUUAAAAGUGUGGCUGGUUAAUGUACUAGAAAUCCAUGAAUGUGCACAGGCUUGUGUAAGUUUGGAGUAAGUUAAUAAUCUCAGCAGGUUCCUGGUGUUUACAGGUUGAAGCCUCCUGAAAGGCUCUUCAAGGGCAGGACUUGAUAUAUACGGCCUGUUGAUUUAUUUAUGAUAAUCUGGAAAGUGCAUCAUGUGCGCUCACUAUUGAAAGCAGCGGGCCGUAGUUUAGAGGCCAAAUUCAUUCGCAAGCGUACUUUUCCAGGCCAGGAGCAAAGUGAGGGUGAUCAAAACGCAUGAUUUAAGACAGGGGGACAUCAACACCACCAGGAAGAGAUGAAGCCCAACUCUGAGCGUACAGUAAGAAGUCUCGGGGUUGGAUGUGUUUGUGUUUGUAGUUCAGGUUAAUUUUAAACUCCACUCUGUGACAGGUUUGAAAAAUUUCGCUGAAAAAUAUCCCACCGUAGAGAGUUGACAUGUGACACAUUACCCCCAGUCAGCCAUAAAUGAAGUCGCAUCCUAUUAGCCCUCCCCGGAGAUGGAUCUUUUUCCUCAGUUUGUGUGUGUUGGUUGGCUCGCUGUGGUGCUAAGUCAGAGUCCAGACACCUGGAGAGAGGGGAGCAUGAAAGAGGGUUAGAAGCGCAGUUGUUACAGUGCGGGGAGAGGGGAGUGUAAAGGAGGAUAGAGAAUGAAAAGUCUGCAAGAAGUUGUAGCUGUAAAUCAGCCUUUUUUUCCAGUCUGAGAAAGGCAGAGAAUCUGUGCGCAUGAUUUAUUGAGCCUUUAAAACCCAGGGAGGUGGCAUUUCACACGGCAAAGAGUUACAAAUAGAAGGGCAUUAACCUCUACCUGAGGCUGUCAGACGAUACAGCUCUCCCCUUUACAAAGAGAAACACCUCCAGGACUGAGAAAUGAGCUCCAGAAGUUAUAACCGCCUGUAAAAGUGCGAUUUUCUAUACAGUCAGCGGUAGAAAAAAGGGCUUCACGCAGCGCUCUGUCAUCACCUGUUUGGUUAAGAUGUGCCUUUUUUCUUUAGGGGCUGUUGGACAGGUUUCUCGACCUUUUAUGUCAGCUUCCUCGGCAUAUUUCAUCCUGCUGAGGGUAGAUGUCCUCAUGAAAAUUAAAAAUCUGCAGAGCUAAAACGGCCUGUGUGUUCCUAAUGAUGAAAUGAGGCGACGGAGAAACAGCAACAAAAGUGAAAGUGAUAAAUUCAACAGCUACGCUGUGAAAACACAUCAAACUGAAAAUCUCUUUUCCAAACAUUCCAGGAUCAUUUGAGCACCUUUGCAUUUAUUUGUUUUUUAAUUCCUACUCAUGCAUUUUAAUAGAUCCAUUACCUAUAAAUAUCCGUACAUGCACAGGGACGUAUCCUUACCGGGGACCAAAAAUAACAAGCCCAGGAAGGCUCAGAUAGAAGGGGCUGUGUGUUCAUUAUGAUAUGCUGCCUUCAAUUGCCACAUUAAUUAAGCAGCUCCAGGCAGCAGUGGCAGGAUGACGGACAGGCCAAGUCACUGGAGGCCUGUCUGAUAGUCUGCCAACUCAAGGCCUUGCUGUCCGGACGCUGAUUUAUGGACAGAGCCAGGAAUCGGAAAAGUGUCCAGGAGCCAUAUUUUUAGUGGGUGGUAGUGCUGUGCACAUGUGCAGGGGCUCGAGCCAACCCCGUGGGACCCCAUUCAUCUCUCAUCACUGCCAUGUCGAUAACAUCCUCCUCUAUAUGAUACACACAUCCCAGUUUGCACACACACACACACUCUGAGGGACCAGGUCUGCUUCCUACAAGUGGAGUCACAUAAAUACACAGACUUUGUUUAGAUGACACCAGGUCCACGGUGGAGUCUUUUUGUAACCCUUUUGUGAGUUUGUGAUUCGCGGAUGUUUAACAGGAAGUUAUUGAGCAGUGUAUAAAGCCCGGUUUCCUUCCUGCUCAGACAGCAGUGUAAUUUUGGUGGUGUUUUAACAGCUCCACAGCUCCCUCUGUUUGGCCUCUUUUCCUCGAUAUUUCUUCCUCAUGCCUCCCUCGAAUCCAUCGUAAUCCCCACUUGUGCUAAGUUAAAGAGAGGAGAGGCCGUUUUCGUGCCAGCUGUCCCUUGAUGUAUUCUGGUCAUCAACUGCACAUGUGCGAAUAAUGCUUUUCUGCACUCAUUUGAAUAUCAGAAUGGCUGAUUAUGACGGUGGCAUGCGUGAGCACAACCCUUCAGGACCAGAGACGAAAGAAAGGAUGGAAAGAUGAAAGGAGGCUGAAGUUAAAAGCUUUGAGCCUGGCAUAUCACACAUACACGGGCCUUAAGAACUCAGUAAACAAUGUUAAUAAGAUGGUUAGGAUAUUCAGCAGGAGAGUCCAGAUAAAUAAUUGAAUAAACGACCACAGGCUCAUAGUCUACACUCGUUUUUUAAAUCUGUGUAUCAGUUUAUUCUUCGGGACUCCUAGAAUACACUUAAGGCCUUAGGGAUUGCACGACUUCUGUGCCUACUUAACCUGUGCAAAUGAGCCACAAAAGAAAUUGUUCACAAAGUGUGCGGCAGAAAAAAAUAACAUCUGUGUACCCAGUGCUAUUUGCAUUCAUUUCAAAUUAGCUAUUGUGCAUCCAUUUGAGGCAAAACGUGCCCUUUUCUUUACAAAUAAGCCUCAUUGCAAAAAAAAAACACCUUGUACACAGGAACUUUUAUGUCUGCUAAGAGAUGGUAGGAAAAUUGUUAAUAUUUACAAAUUUUCUGGUGAUAAAUUCCACGUCAAGAUGACCUAAAAAUCUCAUAUCUGUACAAGACAAUCUACUUUGACUUAACUGUUUCUAUGAUAAUCGGCUUCAGGAAGAAAUGUGGGUAUAAACACUAAAAGCAGUGUUGUUUUCAUUGACGAUGACGUUGAUGAAAUAUUUUCGUCAACGUCGUCAACAAAAACAACACUGGUGCUGCGAGAUAACCACAAUAAACAGUUCCUCAGGGUCAAUAACAGUUUUUAAUUCCGCUCUCUUCUCCUACUCUUCUCUUCACUCUGUGCAGCUGAACUGUCAGGAUGCUAAAUGCUAACCUUACCCGGCUGACAGUCUGUUGAGCACAAGAUGUUUAGUGUUUGACUGACGAAAUACUCAUGAAUUUUGCAACUCUGUUCAUCGUACACCACGAACGUUUUCGUCUAGUCUUGUCAACAUAAACGCACAUUCGUCUCGUCACAUUUUAGUCGUCCAAGACUUAUGUUUAGCUCGUCAACGUCACAUCUUCGUUGUGGAAAAAAAGGGGCACUGACUAAAAGAAAUCUGUUGGUGUUUUUGUGCUUGCAUACAAUUCACUCUAUUUGCUUUGAAUUAAAGAGAGAACAAAUCUUGGUGCUAUUAGCAGCAGAAAUCCAUCCCUGAUGAAUCAGGCCUUGAGUGUUUGGCAGUAUAUAAUUUGGCUUUAUUCUUUCAGUGUGCUAAGGAGUAGGAAACUAUUUCAAUGAUUGUCUGGUCAGUUUUUUUUAUGUCACACAGUUGCUGGUGUACUGUACAUCCUGGUGAGUCCACGCUUCCUCAAACUCAUCUACUUUAUAUAUCUUUAAGUAUUAAGAUUUCCAUUUCAUACCCAACUUACGUCAUCAACAAGCGCACGACUUUGCAGCUCAUGGCACUCAAGUGAUAUGCACUUCAGCUCAUUCUUUUUGCUGUAUCUGUGCAGCGAUAUUAAACCAAACUUGUUGUUUCUGCAGCGAUGGCUUUGUAAUGAAAAGAAGCUGAUUGGAAGCAGUGUUUCCCACAGAUUGAGACUUGAGUUGAUGUGAAGUGGCAUCUACCACCAUGAGUGGAUUAUGAGCAAAUUCAAGAUUGUGAGAUGUUUACAUGAGCUUGUUUUCAUUGCAAACCAAUUACAAUUGAAUAUGAAGAAGUGUUGACAUCAAUAAUUAUUGGGAAACGAAUUACAACAGAUGCGUCAGGAUAACUCCAUACUGGAGAACUGAACGGACAAAGAGCAGGCUGUAACACAACAAUCAAAAACAUGCACACUAUUGGAACCCAUUAUCAAAAUCUUACAUAACAUUAAGGGAUCAACAGCACACUAGGAUCCAGAAGUGCACUGUGGACAGGGAUGUCUGGAGAGGUUCAAAACUAGAGAAAAAACAACGGUUGGGUCAACCAAGGUGCUACUCCAAAAUCUUGGCUUAUGGUUGACAAUUUUCCUUGUCAGAAGUGGGAUUUAUAUUAAAAACAAUUAUUUAAACUGUGUUCCAACAAGCUGCUGUAUGUUUCCAAUGCAUUUAUCUUUGACAGACUCUCUUCAAAAGGUUGCAGCCUACUGUAAAAUGUUAUUUGGCAUAUAUAGUCUAUGCCUUUUAGUAGGGCUGGGAGGAUAUGCUUUUUUCCUGAUUCGAUUUUUCUACAGUUUUUUGGAUGCCAAUUCGAUUUAAAUUGCAGUUCUACGAUAUGAUCGAUUUUCUCGAUCUUUAGUCUGCAUUUUUUACACCAGUAAAACAGUUGAAUGAUUAUGAUUGUCUACAGACUAUUUCAGGAACCAUGUUUCCCCAAAAAAUACACAUCACAUGUGAGUCAUUUUUUAAGAUUUAUUCUUAAAUUUGAAAAAAUCGAUUUUUGAACAUAAAAUCGAUUUACAUUGUAAAACAAAAAAUCGCGCCACUAAUUUACAAAUCGAUUUUUAUCUCCCAACCCUACCUAUUAGGGCUGGGCGAUAUGGCCUGAAAUCAAUAUCACGAUAUAUUGAGCAGUUCACCUCAAUAACGAUAAAUGGACGAUAACUACUCCACAAGCUGCUCACCCCCUCCCACAUUAACUUCAUCUACUUCAGCUGCUGCUCCAGCCACUACAACUUUUGAACCAUCCUCCAUCUCCUCACCUGUCUUUCCCUCUUUGUUACAAACUGGAUAGGGUGGAGUCACGUCUCUGACGUAGGACAGCAUCUUAAAGGGACAUGGGACCAUAGCCUACCUACACACAUCUGAAACCAACUUUUAUGUAUUUAUUUUUUUGACAUCAGUAAUUGUCGUAAAUUUCGGUAUCUGUAAAUUUUCGGUUUAUCGCCCAGCCCUAAUGCCUACGCACCAGAUGAAGCAGGGCCUUACUUUCCCUCUUAUUUAUAAAACUAUACACAGUAGUAAAGGCAGUAUCUACAGGUGGACUUCUAGCACCGUGAUUUCUUAUUAAUAAAAUCUUAAAAGACUGACCUUUGUCACACAUUGCCUAUAAUGUCUUCAAAAGACAAAAAAAGGAGGCCGAAUUAUAUGUUUCGCAGCACUACAUUUAUCAUGCUAAAUCAACAUUUGGGAGUCAUCUGAUCUCAACGUAUAGAGAAAACAGAAUGGUAAUGUUGCGGUGAUCGAAACACGCUGCAUUUUUCAUCAGUGUCAGAUAGCUGCAAGUGACAGGAGGCUGGAAACUGGCGGGAGCACUUGGCUCUGUCACUGCACAGUAAUGGCCAGAUGAAAUGUAUUCAUGCAUGCGGAUCUGCUGCUGCUGGUUCUGCUCACAAUAUGUUGCUAAACCAGAUGCUGUUUGCUUGUAUUUGAUUUCCCCUUUCCACCUCUUGAAAACAAAAAUGAAAAAUGUAACCUAAAUAAAAGUCAAGAUAAAUGAUAACAAAUACUUGCUAGCGCACAAAUACUUGCUACUGAAGAUAUACAUCUCACAUUAAUGGUGGAGCAUGUGGUACCAGGCUGCUUUGGAAAAUAGUAACUGCUUGAGUUUCUUUUACACAAACAUGGAGCAAAAUUCAAAUAAAAUAAUUUUUGCCAAGCCCAAUUUAAAUAAACCAUGUUGAUGCGAUAUCAGAAUAAGCCAAAGAUCUAAUUGAACCCAGCUCUCAUAUUGACAAAUGAACACAAAAAAGGAUGCUGACUUUAUUUCAUUUGCCACUGGGAUGGUGCCUCUUUAAGAUUGAAAACCGCAAAUUGCUCUCAACAAUUCCUAUACCUCUGGAGUUGACCACUUUAAAAUUGGCCCGUUCAGAGAUUAUAAAUAAGGCUAUUUGAUGGCUCUGUUAUUACGCCUGAGAGAGGGGGGAGAGGGGGAGAGGAGAGGGGAGGGCUUGUGGCUGUAAGGCCGGAUGGUUUCUCUUGAUGUGGGCGAGAGCUUUGAGCUUCCACACCACACGCUUCUGUGCUCUGCAACAGGAAAAACACAGGAGAUCACUUCCAAAUGAAAAUGCACACACACACUCACACACACACACACACACACACACACACACACACCCUCCAUAUGCAGACGAUGGAGCGAAGUGAUACAGAAAAUAAACAGCUUGUUCCUCUAUGCCGCACAAUGCAAUAAGUGUUAAACUGAUGACAACACAGCCUCGCCUCCAAAAUAGAAGCUCUAUAAAUUAUGUUUACAUUUAACCAAAAUGCGCCCCGCUGAUCUAAUAGUCCUGAAUGAUUGAUUUGGCUUUUUUAUUGAACCCUUGAACUCCGACAGAGACAAAUUUAAUUCCUGCCUUCAUUAAAAGACAGUUAAGUUCGGCAUCUUUAUCCUCGGUUUACCUAAAAUGAGUCACCCUCUCUUUUUAGUCAUAAGGCACAUAUGUAUUUUGUUAAAGCGUAUUUUGUCUUUCUAUUUGUGUCUUCAGAGCACACACGCAUGCGUGGGUAUGGGAGUUACAUUAGGCCACAACAGCAAAGGCCAGCAGGAGGCUUGUAUGCAUCAUAAGUCUUUAUUGUCCCUGGUGAGCAGCAUUUCCAGUAAACAGGGCCGUUACGGUGGCAAAGUUCCCCAUUUAUGUUUGUGUGCUACGAGGUCAAGAGUGGAGUCUCGCAGUCAAACGGUGAAUGGCAAAAAAGUAAAUCCCGCAGCAGGAAUCCUUAACAAUCUCGUUUUAACAAGAACCUUGGCUUGUUUUCUCUCUCCCCCUUCUUCCUCUCCGAUCCUUUUGCAUCUGGCCAACUCACCAGUACACACACACACACACACACAUCUCUCCCCCUCUUCCCCUUGCUGCGGGUAGCUGCUGCUAGGCUGACUCAGCCCAUCCGCACUAUUCUUGGGCCCUGACGAACGGUGUUGAUGUAGCCUGUCUGAUGGCCACACGCCAUAAACCAGUCUUUGUUCCGCUGGCCACUUCUGCUGAGCCGCUCGCCCUCGACUCUCCUCCCAGAGCUGCCGCUUGACCGACCAACCGACCAAUUGAUGAAGCGUAAGCAAACCGCUUAAGAUCAACAAAAGGAGUUUAUCUUUCACUAAGAGAGUGGGCCACAGUAGUGAAAUGUGAUACCCCUGACUACUGCAGAGGCCUAACAUAAAAAUAAAAAUGACCGCAAGUAUCCCACUGUGUUCCCGUGGCCUUUUGGGUCAAGAGGAUGUGUGAGGAUGUGCUUUAUUGGUAGCCUGGGGGCGAUGAAAACCAUUAAUCACUUAAUUUGCUUGGACACCAGAGAAAUUGGGCUUAAUCCAAAAUUUCCUGGGACAGAGAGAAACUUUAGUACCUCUGAGCGAGGCCUAAGAGGUCUGAGAGUAAAUAAGAGGGUUGAUCUUUGCCAUCACUUUGUAAUGUGGUUUAUUAUCAGACACACACGCAUUCGACAGUUCUCACGACCGCAGUCUUAACACUCAAACACACGGCUACCCAUCUUGGAGCUUUUACCCCCUCUUACUUUCAGUGUCUCUUUCUCACAGGGGGCAAUAUUCCUCAUUCCUUAAAUCCAGUCAAAUAAAUAUGGUAAUAAACACGGGGCGAGAGGAACGGUUAGGCAUGUGCAAACUGCCUGUCUACCCUGUCGUCCAUUAAGAUGUGAGAUAAAUUCAAAGCAUGUCUGAUAUUAGCGUGCGGCGGUAGGACUCAAACUCAAACCAUCUGUCAGUGUGUAAUCACGCAACACGCAGAGCGAGGGAAGGGUGAAAGGUAUAACCAUCGCCGUGGAAAGGCACACGCUGCUUAUUACGGGUGUUGAGAGAGACAAAAAAGGGGACUGCGGCACCCCUGAAUACGGCGAAACCAUCAUCAUAUUAUCACGUCUGAUAGGGAAGCUCACAAAAGGGACAAAGAGACCUUUAAAGAUUAUCUCCCUAGCUUUCUACAAAAGCAGAGAGAGAUCUGGAGUUAGGAAGCUCCCAAGAAGAAUGAUUGAUGGGAUGCCAGAGGACAAAGAAUAGACAGUAUAGAUUGAGUGUGUGAGAGAGAGCUACACAGGGAGAUGCUGACAGAAAGUGUUGAUCUGAAGGCAGAGAUCAGGACGUGUGUAUCUGGUCUCUCUUUUUCUAUGACCCACAUGUCUAGAAGUUUAGAGAGAGAGAGAGCGCACACACACUGAUCUAGCUAGCAUCGCUCAUCAGUCAUCUCUAGACGCAGACGCUGCUUUUUGAUAGCUGACAUGGCCGCCAUCAGCUGGAUAUUGGAAAAAAGCGAGGAAAGGGCCGAGGAGUUUUGAAAUCUUACGCUCCGAGUGAAAGUAUAACCAACUUCAGCAGAUUGUGUGGAAUGUUUGAAAAGGAAUGCAAUCCUUAAAAUAAGAGCCACAGACUACUUUUAUCAGUUAUAUAAGGCUUAACAGAUGCCAACCACUAAUCUAAUGAUGAAUAUCAAGUGCAGACUUUGUCAAAAGCUUUUAUAUUGAAGGUGUUGCGAUUUUAGCAAAUCUCCAGAUCAUUUUACCUCCUGAAAUUGAAGGAGCUCGAGUUGCUGGUCAUAAUAAAUUAUGUCACAUAAAUCAAUCCUCUGAAAAAGAGAGAAAAAAAAAAAGCGGUGGAAGAAAAUCUCCAUUCAUGAUGGGAAGAAUGAACGCAUUGUCUGAGCAGCACUGUACUUCACUGUAUGGCGUUGUGCGUUAAAGAGACAAAUCACCCCGGGCUUUCAUGAGCGAAGCAUAGUGGGAGGCCAAGAUGAAUACAGUACAUUUCCCCUCUCUGUUUCCCUCUCAGCUAAAACAUAGCAAUUAAAAAGUCCCCAUAGAAGCCUGAGCUCGGAGGAGCCAGCAGCUCAGUGAGAGACAAAGAGCACGGCCUCUGCUCUAAUUGAAACAGGGCCUAAAGUCUAACGGCAAUACCCACAUUUAUUUAUUUUCAGCCAUUUAACAUGUCUGAGAUCUUUGUCUCGGGAAGCUAAUUGCUUCUUCCGACAGGAAGACAGUGAGUCAAUGGGUAGUUUAUGUACAAAGAGAUUUUAAUCUGAUCCCCCCUUCUUGUUUGCAGCCCCACGGAUUCAGCAGAAAAUAUGGAAAGUAUGAGAGUCUUUCCUCGGUGUUACAACAAUACAGGAUAAUCCCUGACUGUUUUACUAAUGUCAGUAAAUAUUUAAACUCAUCGCCUGGGUGUAAACUUUUACUUAUUGCUCCACCAGUAGAGAGGACUUUGUUUUGUUGUUGCUUUCGCAUCUCUCCAGUCCAUUACAUCAUGAGAUCAUUUGUUUGGAAGUUUGAUUAGGGGUCUCAGAAAAUCCACAAAAAUGCACAAAAUUGUCCGUACUUUUUUGGCCUGGCACAUACUGUAUAACGCUGAAAAAAAAAGAGGAGGCAAUGGGUAAAAGGAAUGUAAUCAUGGUGUAUCCAUGGAUGUCGGUGCACUGAGAAAUCCCUUUCGAUGAGUCUCCCAGACCACUCCAGUAAAGUAGAAAAUGGGAAAUGUUAUACUUUCUCUCUCAUCGACCACACACUCACUUGACCAGCUGAGUAACAGAGGAGCAGAGGCCACUUAUAGAGUAACUAGAGCUUUUGAUUUCUUUGCCCCCUCCCCUUCUUUUACAUUUUUCAUACCGUCUGCAUUGAAAACCCUUUUUAAGGAUGUCUGCACAAAUCUCUAAAUGUGCAUGAUUUGAUUUUCCUUGCUGAGUUAAAUGAACGUCAGGUGAGCAGAGAGGAAGAAACCAGAGACAUGGUCACUCGCUCUCGACUGAGCACAUCUGUCUGCCAGCUGUGCAUAUGUUUACACCUGACCCUAGCCAAGUCACCGUCUGGGUUGCUCCCUCGUGCUUCCCUUUGCUUUACCUCCAUCCCCCCUUCUCCCGCAGGUUUUCCUUCCUACUGUCGAGGAAAUUCUUUAGCCCCAGCUACUGCAGCAGUACUCGGCUUUUAACCUCAAUCACACUGACUCCAGAAAGAAGGUCUUUCAGAGCUACCACAAACUCAGAAAAUUGGUCAGAUUCAAAGAUGAUUAAAGAAAUCAAAGCAAACUGAGGUUGUGCGAAACUUUUGGCGAAGACCUUAGCCAGCAAAUGGUGGAAAAACCGUGAUGGGAUGGGACAGAUUUCAAAGAAAAUGCUAUUUCAUGGUGGUCAUACGUGUCAUGGCUCACAUAUGACUGAUACAGAAAUUACUGCUUCUUUCUCCAUAAACACUCGUAUUGCAUCAUGUGCUUCUGCUUUAGCAAACAAUACGAAAAAUAUACCAUCAUGUUCUCAGACAUUUCGGUCCUUUCUUUAUCCAAAUGACGCCGUUUUGAAGAGACAAGUGUUUACACUCGCGCGGACAUGGGGAAGUCUUGGUUUGACUGAUUGCUAAACAACGCUAAUCUGCAUGAUAAAAAGGAGCAUUUAAAUCAGCGCUCGAUAAACACGAGGCAGGGAGUCACCAGAAGAUGGACUUUGAUACAAAGGGGGUUUUUCCCUCAUCUUCAUCUUUGCUGUUCUGUAGGUGGCCGACCACUCCGCUAAGUUUGGAUUGGAGUGAGACUUUGGUUUAGAGAAAGACUUGAGGUUGAGCUGUCAUUUUAUGGAAACAAACAAAUCUUUGAAAUCAAAGUCAGUGUUUGUAGUCCCAUUCUGUCUUGUCUACCAACCGUGAGUUGUUUCAUUAAAGCACUCCGUAUUGUGCUCUAAGAGCUUUUUAAGUUCGGUUGUUUACAAGUCUUUGUUAUGCUAAGGGUAUUAUCUGACUCACAGUUUCUUUUAUUGUUUCGGAGACCAUUGAGGUUAUGUGCUAACACUAUUGGACGAAAAAAAUUGCGAAAAUUGAGACAAAAAUACAAUAUAUAUAUAUAUUUUUUACCAUUGACAAUAUCUUAGUUUUUAUCGUAAUUAAGAAUUGGUCUUGUCUGCAUUUGCAUCCAUCUAAAGAGCUAAAUGCAACCCUAUAAUGUAGAUUUAGUAUUAAUUUAUGUGUCUUAAGUCACAUGUGUAUAGAAGUACAGCUACAGGCGAUUUAUAAAGUUAGUUUCUGGACACCAACUCUGUCUCUCUUCUCAAGUCGCUAGAUGAACUAAAAAGGGGGUCUUGACGAGAUGUUUUUAUCACAACAACUGUGGAAGUCAUAUUGUCUACUGACAACAGCUGAUUGAUUUUGAGAUCUUAACAGAUCCGUCUUUCCUUCUCUGUAAGCAAGUUCAGUUGUUGCACUCAUCCGUUUUUUUGCCAAAGCUGCAAUUUCAACAAAUUCUGGCAAAAUAGAGGACACACAUCUCCAGACAUCUUGCUGUAAACCGAUGGAGGUGUUGAGGUCCCCAGAUGAAGCCCAGCCCGAUGUAAACAAAAGGCAGUGCAGCGGCUGAUACAGCUGGGAUGCAUCUGAUGUGGACACUAAUGCCAUCAGUUCCGCCAUCUUACCAGGAUGUUUGCACGAUGCUUGAUGUAAAAUAUAAAUGAGGACAGAACCACAACUGCUGUUGAACUUGGAUUGAUGUGGACCUGGAAGUAGUGAUAGUCUCGUUUGUCUUCUCUACACCCUGUCCAUGUGGUUGUUCAGAUUUUAAAACCACUACUUGUGUUUUGCAUAUUUUAAUUCCACCAAUUAUCCUUGUCAGAGAUCAACACUGGCAUAUAGACCUCCUGUAAAUGCUCACAAGAUACUUUAAAACAACAAAUACUUUCAUGUUUAGGAUCCCUUGUGGAUAAGAAGAUGGUGAUGUGGUGAAAUGUAAAAGGCACCAUCACCCUGAGCGGUUAGAUAUAGAGCUUUCCUUUUUUGGCCUUACUGUAAACACAUGCACAUGCUGCCUUAUUUUGCAUUACUGCAGAAGUAGCAGCUCAGCCAUUUUUGCUUUAACACCGUCCCAUACGUGUUGUUUUCAAGUUCAGUAACCCUGAUGUUGAUUUUGGCAGAUUUGGUCUUAGUCUUGCACAGUUCUGCCUUUUAGUUCUGUGUGUAUUUUUUUUUUGUCAUUUUUGCCCUCUGUAGUCUUUGUCUAGUUUUAUUCAGCAUUAAAACUCAUCACGCGAUUAACGUGAUAACCUUCAGUGAAAGUAUUUUUUUCCCCUAUAAAUAAUUUAUUCAGUCUGUUAGAAACUUGCAUCAGAGUUUGACCAAGUGCUUCCAUCUGCAACAUUUGACUCUGUUAACACUUUCACUUGUAUAAGACCUCAGCUGAAUAACUGAGCCCAGACUAUCCCACCAGUGUAAUGCCUCUGUGCUUUCCCUGCUGACCUGCUAAUGCAAGUAAAGUGUAAAUCAAAAGUAGGGCUGGGCGAUAAACUGAAAAUUUACCGAUACCAAUAUUCACGACAAUAACCAAUGUCAUUUUGCCCAUGUCAAUAUAUUUGGUGUAAAAUAAAUAAAUAAAAGUUGGUUUUGGUUGUGUGUAGGUAGGCUAUGGUCUCAUGUCCUUUUUAAGAUGCUGUCCUGCAUCAGAGACGUGAUGACUCCACCCUAUCCAGUCUGUAACAAAGAGGGAAAGACAGGUGAGGAGACAGAGGACGGUUCAAGAGUUGUAACGGUUGAAGUAGACAAAGUUAAUGUGGGAGGGGGUGAGCGGCUUGUGGAGUAGUUAUCGUCCAUUUAUCCUUAUCGAGGUGAACUGCUCAAUCAAUAUAUUGUGAUAUUGAUUUGAGGCCAUAUCGCCCGGCCCUAAUCUAGGGUUUGACAUGGUGAUCGUUGUGAAUUUGUCACUGAUAUACACAAACUCAUCAGUGAAAAUGGAAAAAGAGUAGGUUUGUACCCAAAGCCCACUUGUUGCUUGGGUGUGAUCUGCGCCCCAUUAUUACAUUGCAGCGUAAUGACUCCGCCUGCUGCAGGAACAUGCUAUGCUUAUUUUAACAGAAAGUUUCUUUGUUAUGUUUAGCUUAAAAAAAACACAACAACUCUGGUUUCUAUACUGUAAUAGUGCAAUUGUUGGAGAUUCAGGAUUGUUUCCCUUAAAAUCACUUCCAUGAGGAGCCUUUUCAGGAACCAGGGGUGUGCGGGAGCCAAUGGGGGGCCACAUGAUGAGCACGUCCUGGUGAGCCAGACAGUUACGGAUCACUUGCUUUUAAUUAGCGGCUUCACAUGCAGCCUGCGUGGAGCUGCGAGCUCCACCACAAACGCAUGGAAGAUGUGACAGUUCCCCCUCAGGGAGACACGGCCCGGGGAAAGGCUCCGGCAUUUCUGCAGCUUCUCGACUCAACACAAUGCCCAAUGUGCACGCCAGACCCACGGCAAUUAGCUUCUAAGGUUCCCCCUCGUACUUUGCCUUCUCUCUUUCUUUUUAAUGUCGGAGCUUGGAAAGGCUCAAUAUAAUCAAGUCAAGAAAAGUUUAUUCUGUUUAGAAUUCCAUCUGGUUCCAGGGGGGCUAAUUUUAGCGGCGCGCAGAGCGGUAUGCAGUGAGGCUGCAUGUACCAUCCUACUUAGAGCGGUGGGGGGGAGAGCUCAGCGCAGACACCCAGGCUCCUAGGCAAUAGACUGGCCGACUGGUGUUUCUAAACACUGCUGUAGCCGUUCUCCCAUCACUCAGCACACCCUGUGUUCCAGCAAAAUGUGUCCCUCUGGCACUUACCACAGGAUCCAAGACUCCCUCAGCCCCCCCCUCCUCCCUCCAGCCCAGACCCCUCUCGCCCCCUUCUCUUUCCUCACCCUUUCUGUCUCGCUGCGUAUCGGUAACUUUUACAGUGUUUCAGCGGUCGAGUAUCACCUCAGCUGAGGGCUCUGCAGAGAGAGAGCGACUGCGCUCCGAGCUGUGAUGCUUUGGGGUGAUAGCGCUGAUUGGAUGUGGCACUCAAAAUUACCCCGGUCUGACUGCGCAGUCAUUACAUACGCCUGCAUCAUUUACAAGCAGGACGGAACGGUAAAAUUCAAUUCACAGGGAAAGUAUCGUCUUUGUUUCUCCGUAUGAUGAUUGCAGGAUUGUGACAAAACAUAACUCUCUCAUUUCAAGGUUAAAGAGCAAUGUCUCCAGCCUCUCAAACAGAACAUGCACACAUGGAUUUCCCAUUUGCAGUAUGGAAAAACAUGCCGUGUAGUCGGCGGAUAUCAUACCUACAGUGCUUCAGUCGGGAUUUUGAUGAAAGACUUACUUUUCUUUCUAUUGAAGCAAAACUCCCACAGUGCAUCCAACUAAUUUAAUUACACCUGUAGAUAAGUCAGGUGAGGAAUCGCGGCUGUCAUGAUGUUUCGACCUUUUACAUCGUGGAAAAUUAUAGCCUGGAUGUGUCCGCCUCAUCCCUUCAGCUUCUAUUUGACAGCGCUGAGACGGGGAAUAGAGGCAGACUUGUCCUCUGUCAGGCUUGCAUUACACCAGAAGGGAAGCCUUUUCACGCCUUGCUGAAGAAACUUGAGAGAGCUUAUAUACGAGCUCUGUGGGACCCGCAGAGUCCAGUAGUGAUUCAAACCGGUGAAGAAUAACACACCUUCACCUACUAAGUAGUGUUUGGGCUAAUAUUUUCUCUUUGGAAAAAAAACCUCAGGUCAGAGCUCUGAUUUGUUCCCGUCUCUGGACUGUCAUUUGUCAUCUCAGAUCGUACGUCAGCGUUUCAGCCUGUGUGAACGCGGUGAAUCCCCGCUGACCAUAAGUAGAUUGUUUAUGCUUUGACUAAUUUGGAUGUAGGGUUUUUGAUGGAUCACGGACAGGGGGCAGCUGCCGCAUAAUUACUGCACUGAGGCAUUCAUACUCUCCGUAAUUAACGGGCUUAUAGUGAAAACACCGUGCUAUUAUUUGUGCCGUGCUAAUCAGAGACGUUUUUAUUGCUCUUAGUAUACAGCCAAGAGGAUAUAAACAGGAGUUAUGUGUUCAUUUCAGGUUUUUAUAGCGGGAAUAAUAAAUUUUAGUUUCCUGUAAUUAAUAAAAUUUAAUUUGCGCAAACAGUGUAAAAGGCUAUUUAAAGAGAGAGAAUGAGAAACACAGAGUUGGAAGUGAAACCCUGCGACUCAGAACUCUCCAGGUAGGCUGAUAGAAACUCAUUUAUCCUUAAUGUCCGGUUUUUCCAACCCUUUUUUUUUUUUUCUUUAAAUAACCCCAAGGAGAAGUAUGGAUCAGUCAUCAGAAAAUGCUGUUAUUAAUCUCUGUCCGUAGUCUUAACAAAUGAAGGCUACAAUCAUAUGGAAACAAUCUGGCCCUUGCCCUCCAAGAGACAGAAAACAGAGCCAAAUGAAGAACAUCCUUUCUCUUAAGACCUGUAAUUUGUUUUUAUUACCUAUUAGGCAAAACACCUCAUUUAUCAAUGUCAAAGCCCUCACAAAAUGAUAGCUGUCCACAUGUAAAUCAGCUAAUGCCAUGUAUGGUUCAGAAUUAAGUGGGCUCUUUCUUAUGAAAUGCUCUACUCUGUGGGCUCAGUGACCCAGCGAAGCCACCCACGACCAGACGUUUUUCUUUCACAGGGGCUGUGCUGGAAAACCGAGCGGAGAACACUUAAAAACAGAGCUGAUUAAGCACAGACCGAACUGUGUUUCUGUACCCCACACAGUAAAAACCAGGGACAUGGGUGUGUGUGUGUGUGAGAGAGAGAGAGCUACAAGUCCAGGAAUUAACGCUGAAUAAUAUUUAACCCAAACAGGCUGAAGAAUGGAGGAAAAUCUUGUCUCGCUUGAUUUGUUUUUUGCAUCUAAUUUAACGCAGGCAUUCAAGUGCUUUAGUCCAUAAAAGCGGCAUUUUAAUUCAAAGAUCUUGGUCAUUUUUUCCCACUUUAUGUCAGUCCAGACUCAGAUAUAAAUCUGCAACCCUGUAACUACACAAAGAUGUUUCAUGUCAGGGCCGUAUACCCCCCUACUGCUAAGCUAAAUAAAACACAUGAUCAAUAAAACCUUUGAUUCAGAGCAUGUCCUGCGAGGCUACAGUAAAUAAUCUGCAACUUUAUUUCUAGCUGACGUGUAUAAAUAUUUAUUCUGUUCAUACGCCAUUUCUUUAAGUUAAAACACGCACGUCAAAGGCGGAGGAUUUGUGUGCGAGUUCCUAGAAAUAGAGGUAAAAAUCUCCCCUGCCCGCCACUUUCCAAAGGCGCCUUUACAAUUACUUAUUCAACACACGGUAUUACACACUAUGCCAUCAUAAGCAACUCGGACCCCCUUUUUUUUUCAGCUCAGCAAAAGCAUGAUGAAUGACAGUCUUGGUCUGAGCCGUGCCAAGCAACACAACUCAAAAUACAUGAUACGGAACCAUCCAAUACUACCGUAGAGCAUAUCUGUCAGUCUGGCAGAGCUCUCCAAAACAGGGACCACACACUCUUUAUUAGAGCCAGUAAAAUGUCCCAAAGACGUGGCUCGACUUUGCUUUCUGCCUAGCUACCAUGAACAAUAGCAGGAUUGUGCUGCUUCUCUCUUUUUCUUUUUGUGGGCCUAUUAUUUUUUCUAGCAUUUGUUAUUCUCACUUAAACUUCAGGCUGGCUCCAUGAGCGGGCCACAGCGUCUCCGAACCGGGCCUACUCUGGCCAGGAAAAACCCGGAGGAGCCAGACGAAUAAAAAAGCCAAAGCGCCGACGCCGCGCGGCUCCCAAUCUGGUUCCUGUCAGGGGGACAUCAAGGGAACACCCGCAACGCAAUCUGCAAACGUCUCCCCUUCCCUUUUCUCUCUCUCCCUCCCUCCCUCCACCCUUCAAGCGAUACGUCUCGCAGAUGACUGAACCAUCGCCAAAUGCUCCCAAAAUGCUUCUCUUUUUUCCUCCUCCAUCUCUCUUUUUCCCCCUCUCGUGUCUCUAUGUUUGGAGCCAGCCCACAUGGAUUGGGAUCAAUUUAGGAUGAAAUGAUAAUUACGCUGUCAGUUUCAAUUCAGACGUGAUGAAGUGAGAAACAGGAAAUGUAAUAAACAUAACUGGAAUCCCAAGCACUCUUGAUUUGGAAGCGGAUUGAAUCAGACGCCACAAACUUGGUCGAAUUGUCAAUUCCGUGCCAUCCCCGCUGAGAGGCAGUUAUACGUUUAUGCCUCGUCUCACACCAAAAUGCUGUAUGAAGCAUAUUGCUGCAGAUAAUUACCUGGUUCCACAUUUACUACAGAGACUAUACGCCUGUUACUGUUUAGUUUGGAACUUCAUACAUAAGAAAUGAUUCGGGCUGCGUCUUUCCAGAGGAAAAGUCAGGAGCCUUUCCCUCUCUCCGCAACCCCCAACAGAAGUCGCAUAUCUUUCUGUAUUCGAUCACCACAUCCUGCACCUGAACCGGAGUUAGUUUAUUGUUUUCGAGCGUACUCUGUGUCGGGGAGAUCAGUGAUAGCGCUUGGCUAACAGUAGCCGGCUCUAACCCUGUCAUGUUGGCUCUUCCACAGCUGAUAUAUGGAGCUGAUUCCUGGCGGGCCGCGCCGCGCUGCCUGGAUUUGUUUAACCCGGCAGAUCAACCUUCAGACAUGAGCAUGUGUGCAGGUAAUGGCUGCCAGAUGAGGUGAGGCCAGCUCCUUACAGGCCCGGUGGAUGCUGCAGAGGAAGAAAGGACACACAUAGACACACACGCACAUAUGCAUACGCAAACAUGCACACUGAGGCCGGGACUGUUAUGAGAAGCAUCAACAAACGUGCAAAUAAAAAAAGUCAAUAUUUAAAAGCAUCAUAACCACCUCCCUAUUUGGGUGGUUCUUUGAAAGUUUAGCUUUUAGAUUUUUCAAAAUAUUGAUUUAAACAUUAACUAUUUCUAGGAUCCAUUUACUGCCGGGAUGCCAGCGUGGCUUCGAGCCUAAUUUCGGUGCGCAGACAGAUGCCAGAUAGGUGAAGUGAGGUGAGGGGGUGAGAAGCGAAGGAGUCGUGCUUUUAAAACGUCGAGUCGCCAGGUGAUGUCUGGACACCGGUCUGUCGGAGCGGCCGCCUGACCAACCACAGUCUGCAGGGAUGAACGGCCCCCUGUAAUGAGGACACACUCGAACUAAUAAGUCUUUCCAGCUUGCAUAUUCAUCCACAAAGCAAACAAGUAUAAGUCGAAGAUUAAAUACAGCGGGGGCAUCUUUGGCACGAGCCACGGCCACCCAGGACGCCACAAGGGCUCCGAAUGACGAACUCAGCCGACAACCACUCAAACAAAAAUAAACAGAAACAAGCCCCUCUUACAGGAGAUGCAGAAAAUUAAUUGAGCGAGUUAAUGGUCUGGGUGAAUGCAUCUUCAACAGGGAAGGUCUUCAAAAACUCCGCUCUGGAUGUCUGUAAUAUUUGGAUUUGCAAUUUUAGUAUCUGAUUUCAUCUCUUUUACACUGUUUUACAUGUGGCUUUUAGGGGCAAGCUAAAAGUAAUUCUUUCCCCCAAACGUCAUCAUGCUCUAAACUGGUCAGCAUGACUGUAAAUUAAUUUGUUCCCUUUGCUGUACAGACCUCAAGCUGGAGCAGUAAAUUUCCAACUCAGCUCGGAAAGGAUGAAGAAGAUCUGUCCUUAAAGGAGUCACUAAUGAGUGUGCCUCAGCUGAUGGGUCAAAUAAAUUAAAAUAGCUGCUUUAUAAACCCGCUUUUUCCUUCUGUGUAGUGAUUAAAGAUCCUUGAGUAAUGCGAGCUGGAAAAGAAAAGCAAGAUAAAGAGAAAAAGAGAGAAAACUUCCCCCGCUAGAUGCUCAUGAGGCUGUUUUUACAAGCCAGCGUCUUGCAGUUAAAAAGUGAAAAGGUGUAGCUGAUAUUUUUCUCCCAACCCGUCCGUGUGAAAGUUCAUCAGGUAGAGAUCCAUCGAGGGAGCUCCCCGCAUCUCCUGCAGUGUAAUUUAUAACCGCUACCCACCGUGCAGCAGCAACAGAAGAACAAACUAGACCCAGGGGUUUGAUAAAGAAGCACGGCGAUGAAAAGGCCUCCGCUACCAGCAGCCGCCCUCCCGCCUGCGCAAAGCCAGAGAGCAGCGAGGAGAGGAAACCGAGCCAAACUCUGCACCUGGCCUCUGCAGAGUCCGCCAAGUCUCUUUCCUGUUCCUGCUUCCUGUUAUGACGUGUUUUUCUUUUAAUUAUUCUUUUUUUUUUUCUCUCUCUGGCUGUGCAGCUCGGAGCAGGUAAAAGGGGCAUUCAAGCAUUGAAGCCACCUGGGAUGGCAGGUUGAGUAAAGCACGGGGGAGUUGUGCUCUGGAACAUGUCUGCAGGCAAAUUACUCUGCC
rnacentral:lncRNA from 1 species